rnacentral:rRNA from 1 species
CUGCGAAACCUUCGCAAUGUGGGAAACCACGACGAGGGAAUUCCAAGUGCUAAUGCAAUGCAUUAGCUGUUCUCCUGUCUAAAAAACAGGUGAAGUAAGGGCUGGGUAAGACGGGUGCCAGCCGCCGCGGUAAUACCCGCAGCCCGAGUGGUGCUCGAUUUUAUUGAGCUUAAAGCGUACGUAGCCGGUCAUGUAAAUCCUUGGGUAAAUCGGGCAGCUUAACUGUUCGAAUUCCGAGGAGACUGCGAGGCUCGGGACCGGGAGAGGUUCGAGGUACUCCGGGGGUAGGGGUAAAAUCCUGUAAUCCUCAGAGGACCACCAGUGGCGAAGGCGUCGAACUAGAACGGAUCCGACGGUGAGGGACGAAGCCCUGGGGCGCAAACGGGAUUAGAUACCCCGGUAGUCCAGGGUGUAAACGCUGCGGGUUUGGUGUCGGAGGUCCUACGCGGGCGUCCGGUGCCGGAGAGAAAUUGUUAAACCUGCCGCUUGGGGAGUACGGUCGCAAGACUG